CCAAGGUUUUGUCUUCGGAAUCUUGCAGUGAAGCUCAUUCCCGGGCAGUGGUCAGAAAAAAAGAGCUUUGACUUGAAGGGUUUUUCAAGCCAAGACUAUGGAGUUGACUGUGGGAUCUUCAUGCUGAUGUCUGCUCUGUACGUGGCACUGGAUGCACCAUUUGACUAUACUAUAGUAAGUAUCCGAUUUACUUUCACAGCAAUGGAGUCUUGAAUCUUUUGAAAGUUGUUAAAUAUGUUUCAUAUUAAUAUUUUACAGUCAGACAUGCCCUACUUGCGUAAAUGGUGGUGCUUGCUGUUGAUGGAGAACUUUGAUCUCAGGAGCUCUGGCAAGCUAUUUGCACACUGGAGAGAGGAG